CGCACAUUGCGCCCUUUCGAGGGCAUGCCUGUUCGAGCGUCAUUAUCACCCCUCAAGCCCCCGGCUUGGUGUUGGACGGUCGGUGGGAUCUCCGAUCCUGCCCCUCCCAAAGACAAUGACGGCGGCCUCGUUGGACCCCCGGUACACUGAGUUCCUCACCGAACACGUACUGGAUAAGGGUUCCGAGGCCACGGUCUGCCUCCCCUCAGGGAGAAACUUUCAAGGUUUGACCUCGGAUCAGGUAGGGUUACCCGCUGAACUUAA
rnacentral:misc_RNA from 1 species